rnacentral:lncRNA from 1 species
CAGACCAGCUCUACACCUGGAAGCAAGGAAACUGCUGUUUAUAAGCAGCUCCUGUUUGCCAGGUGUUACAAUGGUAUAAUUUCAUAAUGAUCCUAAUAGUGAGGUGUGACUGUAUCAAUCCGACAGGUACAUUCCUGAGCCCUAGAGCGCAUCACAAUCUAUGCUGAAGUCACUUGGCCAGGAUUCAAUGCCAAGUCUGAGUCCAGAGAUCAGAACCCACUGCAUCUCAACAGGCUGUUUGCCAGAAGGAAGCACCACUCAGCAUCACAAGAACAGAGACCCAGGGAAUCUCUCUUCAGAGGUCACGGAUGGACUUGAGUCCAGGAGCCCAAGGGAGAGCAGAAGGAAGCUGGGGAGCCCAGAGACUGCCCCUGACUCCUGUGUGAUGUCUAUGAGUAAACAGUGGCAAGGAGAUCAAACCAGUCCAUCCUAAAGAAAAUCAACCCUGAAUAUUCACUGGAAGGACUGAUGCUGAAGCUGAAGCUCCAACACUUUGGCCACCUGAUGCAAAGAGCUGAUUCAUUGGAAAAGACCCUGAUGCUGGGAAAGAUUGAAGGCAGGAGGAGGAGACAACAGAGGAUGAGAUGGUUGGCUGGCAUCAUUGACUCAUUGACAUGAAUUUGAGCAAACUCCAGAAAGUAGUGGAGGACAGGGAAGCCUGGCAGGCUGCAGUCCACGGGGUCGCAAAGAGUCUGACACAACUUAGCGGCCGAACAACACCAAACAGAGGCUCAGCUGGGGGAUGACAUUUGCCAGCAGUCACCAGUCAGUGACAGAAUGGGGACUCGAACCCAGGGCUGUCUGACCUCUGCCUGGAGUUUCUAACCACUCGACCACACUGCCUAGGAAUGAGGUAUACCUCCCGGCAGUAAGAGUCUAAACCAGCAGGAGUUCCCAGCCGGAGACAUGAUCUAGGUGCCACUGUCUGAAUGUCUGUGAGCAUUUCUAGUUGUUUCAAGAAAAGGCGACGUCAGCGGCACCAUUAAAGCCUGCUGUUCCCCGUGCCAUCCCUGCCAUCCCCACGUAUUAGAAUAAUGGCGUGAGAAAUAAACAGCCUUUAUGGACAAUUUUAUACA